CCUGGUUGAUCCUGCCAGUAGUCAUAUGCUUGUCUCAAAGAUUAAGCCAUGCAUGUGUAAGUACAGGCCGACUUAAGGCGAAACCGCGAAUGGCUCAUUAAAUCAGCUAUGAUUCAUUGGAUCUGUAAACCCACUUACUUGGAUAACUGUGGUAAUUCUAGAGCUAAUACAUGCACCACGUCUCCGACCGCAAGGGAAGAGCGCUUUUAUUAGUUCAAAACCAGUCGGGCCUCGGUCCGUCACCCACCUGUGGUGAAUCUGAAUAACUUCUCGCUGAGCGCAGGGUCUCCGCACCGGCGCCGCAUCUUUCAAGUGUCUGCCUUAUCAGCUUUCGAUUGUAGGUUAUGCGCCUACAAUGGCUAUAACGGGUAACGGGGAAUCAGGGUUCGAUUUCGGAGAGGGAGCCUGAGAAACGGCUACCACAUCUAAGGAAGGCAGCAGGCACGCAAAUUACCCACCCCCGGCACGGGGAGGUAGUGACGAAAAAUAACGAUGCGAGACUCAUCCGAGGCCUCGCAAUCGGAAUGAGUACACUUUAAAUCCUUUAACGAGGAUCCAUUGGAGGGCAAGUCUGGUGCCAGCAGCCGCGGUAAUUCCAGCUCCAAUAGCGUAUAUUAAAGUUGUUGCGGUUAAAAAGCUCGUAGUUGGAUCUCAGUUCCGGACUGACGGUUCACCGCCCGGUGGCUACUGUCACGCUCCGAACAGCCGCACCGCCGGCUCGCACGGGGUGCUCUUCAUCGAGUGUCCCGAGUGGCCGGCACGUUUACUUUGAAAAAAUUAGAGUGCUCAGAGCAGGCUCUUUGAAUGGCCUGAAUGUCUAUGCAUGGAAUAAUGGAAUAGGACCUCGGUUCUAUUUUGUUGGUUUUCGGAACCCGAGGUAAUGACUAAUAGAAACAGGCGGGGGCAUUCGUAUUGCGACGCUAGAGGUGAAAUUCUUGGACCGUCGCAAGACGAACUACUGCGAAAGCAUUUGCCAAGGAUGUUUUCAUUAAUCAAGAACGAAAGUUAGAGGUUCGAAGGCGAUCAGAUACCGCCCUAGUUCUAACCAUAAACGAUGCUGACUAGCGAUCCGCCGGCGUUAUUCCCAUGACCCGGCGGGCAGCUUCCGGGAAACCAAAGUCUUUGAGUUCCGGGGGAAGUAUGGUUGCAAAGCUGAAACUUAAAGGAAUUGACGGAAGGGCACCACCAGGAGUGGAGCCUGCGGCUUAAUUUGACUCAACACGGGGAACCUCACCAGGCCCGGACACCGGAAGGAUUGACAGAUUGAGAGCUCUUUCUCGAUUCGGUGGGUGGUGGUGCAUGGCCGUUCUUAGUUGGUGGAGCGAUCCGUCUGGUUGAUUCCGAUAACGAACGAGACUCCGGCCUGCUAACUAGUGCGCCGAUGUGAGUCGUCGGCGGCGGUUGGUCGCUCGCGUAGCGGUGGUCGUCGUCGGUGUACGGCGGGCCCGGGCGCGUUGGUCGCAACGUGUCUCCCGGGUCCGG
rnacentral:rRNA from 1 species